CCCGAAACCCUGUCUGGGGUCUUGAGAGGCAGUCCCGAGACUGACUUCAGGCCAGGUGCAACUAACUGGCUUCCAGGAAGCAGUUUAUUCUGGGUCGUGAUUGUAGUUGCAAAGAAGAUCAACUUCCCACCCACCUGUUAGAGGAAGCCGGAAAACCGUCUCAGUCUGGAGCGUUAGGCAGGCCAGGGGAGUCAGCUGAGUGAAGAGGCCCUGGAAAGAAGGGCGCAGCUGGGUGCCUGUCUGGCCAAGGUUGCCCUGGCUCCUCCGCAGAGGGAAAUGAAACCGCAGCAAAACACCAGCAGGUUUCCACAGUGGGAGUCCACGAAAAGCAAGAGGAAGCUGACGGGCUCCAGUCUGGAGGUGUUUGGAUUUUGGAAACCCCCCGAGUCAUGGGUAAAUCAUAAGGCGUCAUGUCAAUGUAAUUAUAUCUCAUAAAAAGCCGAA